rnacentral:rRNA from 1 species
ACGGGAGGCAGCAGUGAGGAAUAUUGGUCAAUGGACGGAAGUCUGAACCAGCCAAGUCGCGUGCGGGAUGAAGGCCCUACGGGUCGUAAACCGCUUUUGUACGGGGAUAAAGUCACCCACGUGUGGGUGUUUGUAGGUACCGUAAGAAUAAGGAUCGGCUAACUCCGUGCCAGCAGCCGCGGUAAUACGGAGGAUCCGAGCGUUAUCCGGAUUUAUUGGGUUUAAAGGGUGCGCAGGCGGAACGGUAAGUCAGGGGUGAAAAGUUGGGGCUCAACUCCAAUCGUGCCUUUGAUACUGCCGGACUAGAGUGCGAUAGACGUGGCCGGAAUGUGAUGUGUAGCGGUGAAAUGCUUAGAUAUGUCACAGAACACCGAUCGAGAAGUCAGGUCACGAGCUCGCAACUGACGCUCAGGCACGAAAGCGUGGGGAUCAAACAGGAUUAGAUACCCUGGUA